rnacentral:lncRNA from 1 species
CAUUUGUACUUUUCCAUUGGGUAUUUAAAAAGCAUCUAACAUUCAAGGUUUCAACAACCAUAUAAAAUUUUUUUCCCAAUCACUAAUGGUUGGAGAAAUGCAAAUUAAAGCAGCUCUGAGAUUGUAUCACACACACUCAGCAGAUUGGCAAAGAUGAUAAGAGAGGAAUAUGCCAAAGGGCCUGAGAGAAAUCAUAUAUGCUAUUGUACUUUUGGUGGAAGUAGGAGUUGGUUAAUUCUGAAAAAAGUAAUUUGGUAUUCUGUGCAAAAAAGAUACCAUACCUUCAUAUCCUUUGACCCAAAAAUACUACUAUGAAGCUUAUAUCACAAGAAAAGAAUAUUUUAUAGUAGUUUUUUUGUAGUGGCAAAGAAUUGAAAAUUAAAUAGGAAUAGCUAACAAAAUCAUAGCAUAUGUAUAUAAUAGAAUAUUAUUAUGCUGGAAAGAAAUGACAAAAUAGACAAGUUCAGAGAGAAAACUAGUAAGACCUCUAUGAACUGAUGCAGAGUUAAAUGAGCAGAACCAGGAGAUCAAUUUAAAGAAUUAAUGCCAACAGUAGUAUUUGAACGACUUUAUAAGUCUGAUCAAUACAAUGAAAAACCAUGAUUCCAGAAGAUGCCAGAGAUGAUGGAUGUAUUUAAAAUUCAGAAUAAGGUGUAUUUUUUUUUGACAUGGCCAAUAUGGAAACCUUUUUUAUUUGUUUUGUUUUGUUUUGAUUAAGCCUAUAUCUUAUCAGGUUUUUUUUUUAAUUUUUUAAUUGUUCAGUGGGAAGUGUAGAGAGGACAGAAAGAAAAUAAAGGUUAGUAAUUUGAAAGAAGGGAAAAAGAUAAAUGUAUUUAAAUGUUUUUAAUUCCAGAAUCUAUUUCUAUAGGUCUGCCAGUUGCCAGAGUGGAGAAGACAGAUUUAUCCCAUGUGAUGAAACUGGAGUAGGUGGGGAAAGACACUUCAGGGAGGAUGUAACUGUGGAAGUGUUCCCUAACUUAAUUCAUCUGAAAAUAGUUGGAGUGUGAUACAGCAGAAAGACAACUUUGAAAUCAAAGGAUGUAUAUGUAUGUGGUGAUUUAAGGUUUGUAAUACAUUUUACAAAUAUUAUCUCGUUUUAUCCUCCCAGCUAUCCUGGGAGGUAACAAUAAUAUCCUUAUUUUACAAAUGGGGAAAUUAAGGUACAUAAUUAAGUGACCAUGUUUUUCUGAAACCAUCCUGCUCAUCAUUUCUUAUAACAUUUAUAGCACUAUUCCAUCACAAUCAGAUAUCACAAUUUGUUCAGUCAACAGUGCAUUAGUGUCCCACUUUUUCCACAGCCACUCCAACAUUUGUCAUUUUCCUCUUCUGUCAUGUUACCCAAUAUCAUAGGUGUGAGGUGGUAUCUCAGAAUUGUUUUCAUUUGCAAUUCUCUGAUCAAUAGAGAUUUAAAACUUUUUUUUUCAUUUGAUUAUUGAUAGCUUGGGUCAGAGAGGUGAUAGAGUGAAUAGAGUGCCAGGCCUAGAGUCAGGAAAAGUCAUCUUCCUGAAUUCAAAUCUGACCUCAUACAACUGUAGGCUGUGUGACCCUGAGCAAGUCCUUUAACCCUGCUUGCCUCAGUUUCCUAAUCUGUAGAAUGAGCUAGAGGAGGAAAUGGCAAAUCAUUCUAGGUAUCUUUGCCAAGAAAAUCCAAAAUAGGGAACCAAAGCACCAGACAUGACUGAAAACAACUAAACAACAAAAACUGUUAACUUUGAUUUGUUCUUCUAAAAAAAUGCCUAUUCAAAUCCUUUGGCCAUUUAUCAACUGGGAAAUGACUUAUUUUUAAGAAUUUGGUUCAGUUGUCUAUACAUUUGAGAAAUGAAAACUUUAUCAGAGAAACUUGCUCUAAAUUUUUUCCAGUUUCCUGUUUUCAUUCUAAUUUUGG